UCCAGCCUGCGGCAGCUCUACGUGGCCGUGACGCAGCAAGAGGUCCAGCAGGCCCGGAAACGGCACCUUUCCGGGGAUGAUGAGGUCCCAGCACCUGAUGGAGAAACCCCAGAGCAGCCAGACCCGCCACCUCAGACCUGGGAGGAUGAAACGGCCCCUUCCAGUGAGGCAGCCACGCCAACCUCCUCCCCAAGUCAGAAGCUCUGGCUGCCUGUGGCCAAAGCCAAGCACAAGAAGGCGAAGGGGCUGUUCAGCUGAAAGAUUGCUCCCACCCACCUCGAGUGUCCCUGCUCACCCGCCAUCCGAGGGAGGCCGUGC